GACACGGUGGUGCAGUGGUUAGCACUGUCGCCUCACAGCAAGAAGGUCGUGGGUUUGAAUCUCGGCUUGUGGCC
rnacentral:tRNA from 1 species